rnacentral:rRNA from 1 species
GACGAACGCUGGCGGCGUGCUUAACACAUGCAAGUCGAACGGAAAGGCCCUGCUUUUGUGGGGUGCUCGAGGGGCGAACGGGUGAGUAACACGGGAGUAACCUGCCCUUGACUUUGGGAUAACUUCAGGAAACUGGGGCUAAUACCGGAUAGGAGCUCCUGCUGCAUGGGGGGGGUUGGAAAGUUUCGGCGGGGGGGGCUGGACUCGCGGCUUAUCAGCUUGUUGGGGGGGUAGUGGCUUACCAAGGCUUUGACGGGUAGCCGGCCUGGGAGGGUGACCACCGACAUUGGUCCUGCGAUACGCAGCAGUCUCGUACAGUAGGCAGAAGUGGGGAACAUUGCACAGUCGGCGGGAGCCUGAUGCGGCGGCGCCCCGUUCGUGAUGCCGUCCUUCGGGUUGUAAACCGCUUUCGCUUGAUACCAUGCUUUUUUGACGGUAAUGGGUAAAGAAGCACCGGCUAACUACGUG